AUGAUCACUGUUAUAUUCAUGUGUCUGUGGCUUUCAUUAGGUGACUCCAUGGAAGAUCCAAUAGAGCCACGUUUCCCUCAUAAAGUUGUAGAUGAAGGUGAUGAUGUUACUCUGUCCUGCAGCUACAAAAACAGUGCUACAGUAAAAAGCCUACAAUGGUACAAACAACAUCCAAAAUCUAAACCUGAGUUCCUUUUUUACAUCUUACCGAGUGGAGAUAAAACUGACCCUAUGCCACCACGUCUGUCUGCUGAAGUCGAUGAUAAAACUAAACAAGUGUAUCUGAUCAUCUCCUCUGCUGCUGUAUCAAACUCUGCUCUAUACUACUGUGACUACAACCUCCCCGUAGACAGUGGUCUUAAAGCAACAGCUCUUACUUUACCCCACUCCCGCAACACUACCCCCACUCUGGAUGGUGAUUAA